AUUGAACGCUGGCGGCAGGCUUAACACAUGCAAGUCGAGCGAGCGGCGGACGGGUGAGUAAUGUCUGGGAAACUGCCUGAUGGAGGGGGAUAACUACUGGAAACGGUAGCUAAUACCGCAUACCAUCAGAUGUUCCCAGAUGGGAUUAGCUAGUAGGUGGGGUAAUGGCUCACCUAGGCGACGAUCCCUAGCUGGUCUGAGAGGAUGACCAGCCACACUGGAACUGAGACACGGUCCAGACUCCGACGGGAGGAAGCAGUGGGGAAGAUUGCACAAGGGGAGCAAGCCUGAUGCAGCCAUGCCGCGUGUGUGAAGAAGGCCUUCGGGUUGUAAAGCACUUUCAGCGAGGAGGCGUUACUCGCAGAAGAAGCACCGGCUAACUCCGUGCCAGCCGCCGCGGUAAUUC
rnacentral:rRNA from 1 species